UACGGAGGGUGCGAGCGUUGUUCGGAAUUACUGGGCGUAAAGCGCGUGCAGGCGGUCGAUUAAGUCCGGUGUGAAAGCCCGGGGCUCACCCCCGGAAGUGCGCUGGAAACUAAUCAACUAGAGUACGGGAGAGGGAAGUGGAAUUCCUGGUGUAGCGGUGAAAUGCGCAGAUAUCAGGAAGAACACCCGUGGCGAAGGCGGCUCUCUGGGACGGUACUGACGCUGAGGAGCGAAAGCGUGGGGAGCAAACAGG
rnacentral:rRNA from 1 species